rnacentral:rRNA from 1 species
UACGGGGGGGGCAAGCGUUGUUCGGAUUCAUUGGGCGUAAAGGGUGUGUAGGUGGCGCGCUAAGUCGGGUGUGAAAUUUCGGAGCUUAACUCCGAAACUGCAUUCGAUACUGGCGUGCUUGAGGACUGGAGAGGAGACUGGAAUUCAUGGUGUAGCAGUGAAAUGCGUAGAGAUCAUGAGGAAGACCAGUGGCGAAGGCGGGUCUCUGGACAGUUCCUGACGCUGAGGCACGAAGGCCAGGGGAGCAAACGGG